AUGAGGAUAGUGGCGUGGAACUGCCGGGGGCUCGGGAACAGGCCGGCAGUUCGUGGUCUUCUGGAACUCCAGAAGGAGGAUCCCGACGUAAUUUUUCUUUCAGAGACUAGGAUGAAUAAAUAUAAAGUGGAAAGGUUACGCCAAACCUUGGGGAUGCCACACCUUGUCUACAAGGUUUGUGUUGGAAAGAGUGGAGGCUUGGCUAUGCUAUGGAAAAGAGAAGUGAACCUGAGUUUGAGGUGGCUUGGAAGAAUGCAUAUUGAUGUGACGAUCAAAGAGGUUGACAGAUAUAAGUGGAGACUCACAGGUAUCUAUGGCGAGCCCAGACCCGAUCACAGGGAAGAGACGUGGCGACUGUUACGCACUCUACAUCAGCAAGAAAAGCUACCUUGGGUGUGUAUACGAGAUUUCAAUGAGAUCCUAUACAACUUUGAGAAGCAAGGAGGGGUGCCCAGAGCUCACAGCCAAAUGGAUCGUUUUCAUGAUGCUUUAAACUUUUGUAACCUAAACGACUUGGGUUUCGAGGGGGACGUAUUUACUUGGCGUAAUAAUAAUUUCCGUUUGGAUGGUUAUAUUCGUGAGCGCCUGGACAGGGCUGUUGCAAAUCCACAAUGGUGUAUGCGUUUUCCAGGUUACAAGGUGUGGAACGGUUGCCCUGAACACUCUGACCAUUGCCCAGUGAUUCUCGACGUACAUGGUGCGGCCCAAACAAGGAGACCACCACCGAACAAUUUAAACAAAAGGUUUGAGGCACGCUAG
rnacentral:rRNA from 1 species